ensembl:lncRNA
CAGAGGGCACCGCCACGUAUAGAGACGUGAUCCGGCAGGUCAGGGCCAACAUGACAAACCUGAACAAGGAAAUGCGGAAGCUGCGGAAGGCCUACAGCACCGAGUGGAAGCUGUUUGAGCAGAGCCAGAAGGAUCUGCAGUCCAACUUCCUCAGGGAAGUGAGAGACAUCAGCACCAGUAAAUUAGAAAAGAAGACAGAUGAUGAAUCAUCACUUUAUCUUUCCUCGGUUGGAACUUUCUGAUCAGUUUGGAAGAAUCUUUAAGUGGAUGAGAUCCAUGGCAGAGCUGCGUCCGCUGAAACAGAGUUAGGCCUAAGAUAAUGAGUUAGGAGUCGCCGAGCCUUCAGAGUUGCUUAAGCACAUUAAAUGCCUGCACUCUGCCACCCUGGGCCGGGCGGGCUGGGCCAGCACCGGUGACCACAGGCAUUUCUGGGGCUGCCCCAGCGUUCCCGGCCUGCGGAGGGGAGUCAGAGCUGGCUAAGGCAUGGCUGCUCCCUGUUCCUCCUGGCAUGACGUACGCUCGGGCCUCCGAGGGCACAGUAAACAUCACACCCGGCACAUCCAGGGCCUUGGGGGCGGUGGCAAACAGAGGCCCCCGAAGGCUGAGCGUGGGGUGGAGGGGGAGCUUUGGUGAACUUGGGAAGAAUCCCACGUGAGUGAGUCAGCCCUACUCAAAUGUGUUUUGGUUGCUGAGCUCGGACCCCACAUUGAAGAGUUUGAGUUAAAAUUCAAUAGAUUCAAAAGAAAACUUAUCUUCCUUCUCAGCCCAUCCUCUCCUUUUCACACUUCUCAGUUUCUAUUGAGAGAUGCACCAUAUUCCCAGUCACCCUGGCUUUUAUCCAACCACGUUCUGUUGAUUUGGCCUCUGAGGUUAUUUAACAUCUACCCCUUUGUUCAGGCCUUCAGGAGGAUGACCUCCAUCCUUUCCAACUUUACAACUUAUUCUUUUUUUAAAAACCCGGUAGGUUUUCUUUUGAUGGCCAGACACCAUUCAGCAGACAAGAAAAGCCGAUAUAAAACCACUGGGCGACUCAAGUGACUGCCCCAUCAGUCUGUGGGAUGUCCUGUUUUUAUAAUUUAACAACUGAAAACAGAAAGGAAAAGUCUAUGUGUCUACUCUAACUUGAAGUUUAGCAGUGAAAAUUGCCUUUAUUUGCCUUAAUGUAGUCCUUGUACUUUGUGGCUUUCUUGGUUUUUUCCAUCCUGGAGUGGGAAUUCUUCUGAAUUCUUCCUUUUUGUUGUUCUUGAAAGUGGAGCGAUCCCCGACAGUCUCGUUCCUCAUUAUGGGGCGUGCUCUGUUAUGAGAAAUAAUGAUCGGUUAUUGACAUAAGGGUCUUUCCUUGUUACACUUAAUUUCCUAGGAUAUUCACCUCAUGGUAGCAUCUUUGCAUCCAGUAAUAUGAACCAAUAUUCUUUGCCUUCCGCAGGCCUGUGCUUCCCUCACCUACAGCUUUUCUCGUCCUCAGCGAUCCCAGGGACAAGUGCCUUCCUCCAGAACUAUCAUCUGUAAUUCUCAUCUCUGAAAUUCCCUCAUUGUACAUGACCGUUCUCCCAUCUCUUGCCUCUGCCUCCUUAUAAACCUUUCUCCAUCCUCGUUGCAAACUCCAGUGUUUCCGUCCUUGUUCUCAAAGUCUACUGGUCCUGUCUAGGCUCCUUUCCCUGUCUUCAGAGUCUUAAUCCUUGAGCUGACCAACAACUUUCCCUUGCCUCAUUUUCCUGCUACCAUUAGCAGUGUUCCUGGUCCAUCCCCAGUAUCCGCCAUCCUGACCUGCUGAACAUCACAGGAGGGAGACACCCCAAUCUGUUGCCUGGGUCCAGAACAAAUUCAUGCUAUCCAGUCUUAAUUGGUCCUUACUGCUACACAGAACAACAUAAGUUUUCCUUAAUUGACUCUCUCCCAAACUUCCCUCUGCAAUCCUCAAGCAAGCUCCCAAGCUGCUUCCAGCUCUUGUCUCUACACAUGUCCUCGUCUCCUGCUACAUGGGGGCAGUAGAAGCCAGCUGCUGUGAACCCCCUUUUUUUCCUACUCUGCACCUCUCCACUCAUAUGAGGAACUCAUGGUCCUUGCAGCCCAAAAGCCAUCUUCUCCAGGAAGGAGCUCAUCCUCCCAAGUGAUUGCCGCUCCCUCUCUUCUCAAGCCAUGUCCUGCACGGCACUUCCCUGGCACUGCCAGACUUCCAGGCUCUCAUUGCCUCCUCUUCCUUACCACAGGUGCUGUGGCCCUUCACAUCUCUGCCCUGGAUUAUUGCUGUGUCCUUUCUUGCAGGCUCUCUCCCUUCGCUAGCUCAUCCUUUGUCCAGCUGUCAAAUCAUCUUCCUAAGGGACAAGGGUGACUGGUCACUCCACUGCUCGAAAGCCCUGCCCUGGAACCAGAUACGGCCUCUUUGGCAUGGCUUAUGGUCUUGUGCCACCUAAUGGGUAUUCCCCUUUCUAGCCUUAUUCCACACACCUUAUGUUUCAACUAAAUUGGAUGGUUUACCAUUUUCUACAUUUAAUAUUCCACAUCCCACUGCUGGAUGUUCGCCUGAACUGCCCCCAGUCCUUGGCCUUCCACUCCCCUCUCUGCUUUCUCAGAAUACUUAUCUUCCCUUAAGGCUUAAUGCCAGUUCACCUCCUAGGAGAAACUUUCCCCAAUCCCUUCUCCCUCCCUCCUCAUCUUUUCUUAAACCACCCUUAUUUGUGUGUUUUGUAUCUCUCUGGUAGAAGGUGAGCUCCCUGUGGACAAGGGCUUGUUUUGUCUUUAAACUCUCAGCCUUGUAAAAUGUCUUACAUAUACAUAGUAGACCUUCAAUAAAUGCUUAUUGAGUCAAAUAUUCAUGAAUGAUUCUCAAGUAUUUUCCAGAAGGUUGGACCAAUUCAUUACUAUAACAAAUUAGAAUGGUUGUCUUCCUCACAGCCUCUCCAAGAUGAAAUUUUCCCCUUUCACCUUUGACAUUUUGAUGGGCAUGGGGUAAUCUCUUCUUUUAAUUUGCAUUUCUAUUAUUAUUUGUAAGUAUGAACAUUUAUUCAACUGUUUAAUAUUUGAGGCACUUUUUCUUUUGAAAACUGUUCAUCUUCUUCAAUAACUUGUCUCUCAGGGAACAACUUUUAAUCAUGUAGAUUGGGUUAAUUCCCUGUAAGUUUUAUUGUUAAACUUUUUAUCAAAGAUGUUUCCCUCCCCUUACCCCAUCCAUAUCUUUUCUUCUCAUUCCACCUGCAUUGAUUUUAUUUGUGAUUUUAAAUAAUCAUACUAUAAGAUGAUUGAGAGAUCAUGGGUACACCAGUUCCCCCCUGAGCACAAUAAGAAAUGUUCCAAAUUCAGUAAAAUAAAAACAAUAUGAAGGUAACGUAAAGAAAACCAAGAGGGGUGUUUUCUCUUCCCCUCUCUAUAUACCCCCAGACUUGGGAGUCUCCCAGUCUCCUGUUCCCAGUAGCUAUUGGGCUAGAGUCAUAUAUUCCUCAAGCCUCAGAGUUUCAGGCAGUAGAGCAAGCAGGAUUUCUUGGGUUUCAUGCAUAUAAGACAAUUUUUUUUUGUCAUGAAUUAAAAUCGUUUUUUCAUUGUGAAUUAAAUCAACAAAUACAUGAAACAAAAACAGGAUUAUAUAUGAAACUGUGAACUUCAGCUAAAUGCAAUUUAGGUUUUUUAAAAUGUGUAUUAAAUUUAACAAAGCAGUAGCAAAAUUGCCCUGUUUGUGUCUCUCCUUGAAAACUUGUUUCUUC